rnacentral:ncRNA from 1 species
GACGAAAGGGCACCACCAGGAGGAAAGCCUGCAGCUUUGUUGGACACAAGACCCUGACAUUGAAAAAAUGGAUGUGCUGUUACCUCUUUCUCCAAUCUAUGUGUGGUAAUAUCUGGCCAUUUUUAGUGGUGGAGUAGUUUUUCUGAUGAAUUCUGAUAAGGAACAAGACUAGUACAUGAUAACAGUUACAUGACCCUCGUUGACCCCCAAAUGGUCAAUUCUUAGUUUCCAAAUUCUUAGUGGAUCAGCAUCCCUCCUACCCCCAAGAUUGAGCACUGCCAGGUCUAAAUGCCCAUCAACAUGUGUACUGCCUUGACUCACCUGGGAGUUGCUUACCUUUAGGCCUUUGAAUUCCAUUCAAGGUGGGGAUCUGGGAUUGCAAUGGUCCCCCACGUAUAAGGAAUUCCUUGCAAGUUGGGCCAGGGCAUCAUAAACUUCAUGAUUUAGACCAUGCCCUUUGUGC